GAGUGAUGUGGAGCUGACCCAGGAGUCCACACCCUUCGACUUAAAGAGCACCCCCGGAGGGGUGGAAGGUGGAGCGAAAACACACCCAAAAAAGAAAAAGAAAAAAGAAAAAAGAAGAAGAAGCCCGCAGCCGCCUGCGUGCUGGGAAUCUUGCGGAAAGGCUCCUGUCGCUUGCGUGUGUGUUUGUGUGUGUUGCCUUUUUGGGAUCUCCCCUCGUGCCGCCGUCUCCACGCAUCCGGCUCGUUUUGAGAACCUAGCCCAGAGUUUGAAAGGUGUGGACAUCGGCCGGACGUCACCGUCUCCCCGGGCGAGCUCGCGGAAGGAGGCCGGUUUAGUCGGAGGGAUUCCUGGCAGAGUGAUUUGGUUUUUUCAUGUGAUUUAAAUCACAUUGCCAGGGAUUUCCAACCGGUUACAACUGAAAUGCACGCACGCAUGCACGCUGACGGAGACGGAAUACACUCAGCUGACGCAACAUUAGGUCUGGUUGAAGCCAGACGUUUACAUACCCUGUGCAAAAUCACACAUUUCAUUUUUUUUGUCACACUGUCUGAAGACAAAUCAGACUAAAUCUCUCCUGUUUCCAGUUGGUCAAGAUCACCAAAAUUAUUUGAUUUUAUUAAAUGCCACAAUGAUGAGAGGGAGAAUUUUGUAUGAUUUUCUUUCAGGUCAAAUGUUUGCAUACAUAAAAAGCACUGACUCUGAAGAACAUGGGGAAGCUCAGAUGAUGAGGUCAUGGCUAGGGAAGCUCUUGAUAGGUUAACUAACAACAUGUGAGUUAAUUUGACAGCACGCCUCAAAUACUCUACUUCCUUGUCUGAAAUGAUGGGAAAAUCAAAAGAAAUCGACCAGGAAAUCAGAAAAUCGUCACGCUCGACAAGUCUGGUUCAUCCUUGGGCACAAUUUCCAGAUCCUUGAAGGUGCCACGUUCAUCCGUUCAAACAAUUAUACGUAAGUAUAAACAUUAUGGGAAUGUCCAGCCAUCACACUCCUCAGGAAGGAGACGGGCUCUCUGUCCCAGGAAAUGUGGGAAUCAACCCCAGAACAAAAAGCUAAAGACCUUACGAAGAUGCUGGAUGAAGCUAGUAAGAAAGUGUCAGUAUCCAGAGUGAAAUGAGUCCUGCACCGACAUGGGCUGAAAGCCAUAACCUAACCCUAAGUUCUGGAGACAUGUCCUGAGGACUGACGAAACUAAAGUGGACUUGUUUGGCCGUAUUGACCCAAGUUACAUCUGGAGGCAAAAGGGGGAAGCUUGUUGACCUCAUAAAAUUGACGCUACCAUGAAGAAAGAACAUUACAUGGAGAUAUUGAGGCAACAUUUCAAGACAUCUUGGAGCGGCCAUCACAAAGGCCUGAUAUCUGAAUCCUAUGGACAAUUUGUGGGCAGAUCUGAAAAGGCGUGUGCGAGCGUGGCUACCGAAAAACCUGACUCAGUUACAGCAGUUCUGUUUAGAGGAAUGGGCCAGCAUUCCAGGAAAGUACCAUCAGAAGCCUGCGGAAAGUUACUCAAAACAUUUGAUCCAAGUCAUCCGGUUCAAAGGAAAUGUAUGUAAACUUCUGACCUCAAAGAAAAGAGAAAAAAAAAAACAUCUCUCUCAUUAUUGUGGAUUUAACAAAAUUAAAUAAAUUUGGUGAUCCUUACUGACCUGAUAGAGAAGAGGUUUAGUCUGAUUUGACUUCAGACAAAAUAAAAAAAUAUAUAUAUUUUUGCACAGUGUAUGCAAACGUCUGGCUCUAAGUGUACGGCCGCACGAGCUACGACACCCUUAGCAAAUACUGCAUUUAAUAUUUCCAGGAACUUUCUAUGGAAUGUUAUGCUUGGGGAUUUUGUGUUCAUAUAUAAAAUGUUGGACGUGUCCCAUUCAGGGGUGGGCAAACUUUUGCAAAAGUAUUUGUGAAAAAAAGUUUUAAUAUUAAAAACAGUUUAUUCAGAUUUAAAGACUUUAUUACAAUCAAUUAGCCAAUUAUUUAAUUAAAUACAGUUUUUUUAAUUUAGAAAAGGCAACACUUGUUUUUAUAAAAAUAUAGUCAUUAAUCAAAAAAAAAACUUGAACCCUUUAAACAGUAGUACAUACAAGGGGUACCAAAUGUGAUAUACACUUGAUUUCACCCCCCCCUCACCAAAUUCAUUUAAUACAUUUUUAAAAAGUGCAAUUCAUAAACUAUAAUUUGCUGAAGGCCUCAUAUCUGUCCGCAUGAUACCUGAAACUCUUUUUUUUUUUUAAAGUAUAGUUCAGGUAUAAUGAAUUUUGUAAUAUUUACAUUGUAUUUAUAUAAACACUAGUACUUUCCUUUAAGUGACCCCAAACCCUUGAAUCAUGGUGUGUAUGUACUUUUAUGUACACUUUUUUGUAUACUAUCAAUUUAUGCAAAUCAAUAAUAAUUUUUUUUACAAAAAUAGUCAUUUUAAAAGGCGAUUUUAGUGGAAAAAAAAACAAGACCGGCUAAAUGAAGCUAAUAAACAUUACAGGACUGGUGAUGAUGUACAGUAAACGCAGGCCAUAUUUGCCCAUCCCUGCUUUAUCCAGUCCAAAUCUCCCCAACCAAGCUCACUGAUGACGACAUGAUAGAACUUAAUCCACGGAUUUGGAUCUAGACUUCCAUCCGCAAUACGGCACAAGACAUCUGGAUAACGCAAGAGUUGGGACGAGGCGCAGGACUUAGCUCGCUCCGUGAACAGUUCAGUGGAAAAGUCCGUGUUCACAGUGGCUAAGUUCCGCUCCUUGCGAGGCCUUCCGGCGUUUGCAAGCGUCAACGUGGGAUCGGCGAUAAUGAAGUUGUGCACUAGCUGCUAGCUUGUUGUCAAACGCCGCACAGUAAAAUCAAGAGAUUUCUUUUUUUUUUUUUGCAGUGAGAAUGUGUUAAGACUAACAUGCCACUUCAACAUGAGGGCUAAAAAAAUAUAUAUUAGUUUCCUGAUGGGUACAUUGGCUAUUUUGUCAUAUUUUGAUUAUGUAUGAAUCAUUUAUCGGCUAAAAACGGGCUUUUUUUUCAUGUUGAAAGGUGUGACGAAGUUUUCACAAAGGGAUUUGUUUGGAUUUUUUUUUUUAGAAUAUGUGCGGGGAAAAACAGAUUUUUCAAAUCUCAAUCCAAAAUGUUCAA